GGAAGGGGGUGGAAAUCCCCCUCUGUGCCGCAACUGUUAAAGACAGGAACUUCCUCUCAAACUACCUUUAUUGAGCCUUCCGCGCGAGAAGGUGAAGGAGUUUUUGUGAUUUCUCCAGAGUUAGAGAC
rnacentral:ncRNA from 2 species